rnacentral:rRNA from 1 species
UGAAUACGAGAUGCUACGGCGUCGAAGCAGUCUAUGUCAUACUUCCAAGAAAAGCUUGCACUGUCAUAAACAAAUAAUGCCUGUACCAUAACCGACACAGGUGGGUAGGUAGAGUAUACUAAGGGGCGCGAGAUAGCUCUCUCUAAGGAACUCGGCAAAAUGACUCCGUAACUUCGGGAGAAGGAGUGCCUUAUUUUAUAAGGUUGCAAUAACAAGAUCCAAGCAACUGUUUACCAAAAACACAGGUCUCCGCUAAGUCGUAAGACGAUGUAUGGGGGCUGACGCCUGCCCAGUGCCAGAAGGUUAAAGAAGUUGGUUAGCAUCCGCGAAGCUGAUAACUGAAGCCCUGGUGAACGGCGGCCGUAACAAUAACGGUCCUAAGGUAGCGAAAUUCCUUGUCGGGUAAGUUCCGACCCGCACGAAAGGCGUAAUGAUUUGGAUACUGUCUCAGAGAGGGGCUCGGUGAAAUAGACUUGUCUGUGAAGAUGCGGACUACCUGCACCAGGACAGAAAGACCCUAUGAAGCUUUACUGUAACUUGAAAUUGAAAUUGGACUUUACUUGCGCAGUAUAGGUGGGAGGCGUUGAGAAUAUUCUUGCGGGAAUGUUGGAGCCAUCAGUGAGAUACCACUCUUGUAAUGUUAGAUUUCUAACUUUGUAUCAUUAUCUGGUCAAAGGACAGUUUCAGGCGGGCAGUUUGACUGGGGCGGUCGCCUCCCAAACGGUGACGGAGGCGCACAAAGGUUUCCUCUGAACGGGUAGAAAUCGUAUCUAGAGUGUAAAGGCAUAAGGAAGCUUGACUGUGAGACCUACAAGUCGAGCAGGGACGAAAGUCGGUCUUAGUGAUCUGACGGUGCUGAGUGGAAAGGCCGUCACUCAACGGAUAAAAGUUACUCUAGGAUAACAGGCUGAUCUCCCCCAAGAGUUCACAUCGACGGGGAGGUUUGGCACCUCGAUGUCGGCUCAUCGCAUCCUGGGGCGGUAGUACGUCCCAAGGGUUGGGCUGUUCGCCCAUGAAAGCGGUACGCGAGCUGGGUUCAGAACGUCGUGAGACAGUUCGGUCCAUAUCCGGUGUAGGCGUUAGAAUAUUGAGAGGAGCCUUCUUUAGUACGAGAGGACCGAGAAGGACAUACCUCUGGUGUACCAGUUAUCGUGCCAACGGUAAACGCUGGGUAGCUAUGUAUGGAGUGGAUAACCGCUGAAAGCAUCUAAGUGGGAAGCCCACCUCAAGAUAAG